GAUCGCGCUAUUCUUUCAAGAACAGUUUGCACCCACCGUACAAAGCGGGAGGGGGCUGGGUGGAGAAAUGUGACCCGCGGACAAAGGGGAAUGAACGGCGAGGAUCCAUGCAGCCCCAUCCCAUGCACACUUACUCGGAAAACCAGAAUGUUCCUCCUUUGGAGUGAUCAGAGAGAGGGCGUGGGAGGUGGAAACACUUCCUUCACUGAAGCUUUAUGGCACUUUGGGAUCUUUGAAGAUGCACCAUCCAUCCACUGUGAAAUCGAACAAAUUAGAGCCAACUAACAAGCAUGGAAAAUCAAGACUGUGAAGCUGACUAGAUUUGGUACCUGAUUAUAUCCAGUUGAGAAACUGGCUAAAGGUGGGCACUCUUGGGUAAAAUCAACGGGACUUGCUUCUUCAUGUUUGUCAGGAAGUAAGCUUAGCUGUGUCCCCUUUCCCUGUGCUACAGUCACUGUUUAAAAACAAACUAAAGCCAAAGCAAAACAAACAAGCAAAGUCAUCUUGUAAUU